rnacentral:rRNA from 1 species
UACGAAGGGGGCUAGCGUUGCUCGGAAUCACUGGGCGUAAAGCGCACGUAGGCGGAUUGCUAAGUCAGGGGUGAAAUCCUGGAGCUCAACUCCAGAACUGCCUUUGAUACUGGCGAUCUCGAGUCCGGGAGAGGUGAGUGGAACUCCGAGUGUAGAGGUGAAAUUCGUAGAUAUUCGGAAGAACACCAGUGGCGAAGGGCGGCUCAUCUGGCCCCGGUACUGACGCUGAUGUGCGAAAGCGUGGGGAGCAAACAGG